GAUGAACGCUGGCGGCGUGCCUAAUACAUGCAAGUCGAGCGAACUGAUUAGAAGCUUGCUUCUAUGACGUUAGCGGCGGACGGGUGAGUAACACGUGGGCAACCUGCCUGUAAGACUGGGAUAACUUCGGGAAACCGAAGCUAAUACCGGAUAGGAUCUUCUCCUUCAUGGGAGAUGAUUGAAAGAUGGUUUCGGCUAUCACUUACAGAUGGGCCCGCGGUGCAUUAGCUAGUUGGUGAGGUAACGGCUCACCAAGGCAACGAUGCAUAGCCGACCUGAGAGGGUGAUCGGCCACACUGGGACUGAGACACGGCCCAGACUCCUACGGGAGGCAGCAGUAGGGAAUCUUCCGCAAUGGACGAAAGUCUGACGGAGCAACGCCGCGUGAGUGAUGAAGGCUUUCGGGUCGUAAAACUCUGUUGUUAGGGAAGAACAAGUACGAGAGUAACUGCUCGUACCUUGACGGUACCUAACCAGAAAGCCACGGCUAACUACGUGCCAGCAGCCGCCGUAA
rnacentral:rRNA from 1 species